UCAAGAUGGGCAAGUAAACAGAACAAAGAAUGGAUUACUGGAGACUGAAUUGUUUUCAGAGUGGGACACGUUCGUUCAGCAUGCUGGAAGUUGUGAUGGAAGCCUUUACAAUUUAUUGAAGCUCAAGAGUCCAAAAAGGAACUCAAAAGGAGCCACUUUCACACUGAAUGAGGUUCCUUGUUACCACUGGACCCAGCACAAUAAGGAUAUCAUCAUCGUCAUCACUGCAGCUAGGGUAUAAUGAAGAUGCGGAGAAACUGAGCAGGACCACAUAUGUCAGCACCCCAGGGUCAGCAAAUGCUGAACAGCCUCUACAUGAAGUCACCACAGUUGAAUACCCCCUCAGGACAUGGAGAAGAUCUAGGAGACCCAGGAUCUGCCAUCCUCAAUGUCAUUUCCUCCAGAUGAGUGACUAAGAUGCCUCAGUCUGAGGAUGACCUGGGAGACUGUCACAGUCCUGUGCCAACUGCUGGAGUAGGAUCUGCAACCAUCCUAUCCUGUAGGCAACGUCUGUGUGAAAUUUGUAGGCAACUAAUAGUUUCUCAAGGAUCCUCCAGGAUGUGCAGAGGAUAGCUGCUAGAGAACAGAUGGUAUCCAUACUCUUCCACUCCUGGCUGUCAAGAUGCCCACUGCAAGCCCAUUACAUCUGAACAAGGCAGAACAAUGAGAGUCAUAUUAACAGCGGGAAACUCGGGGAGAAGACAACCGGUAUUUUGAAGUACAGAAACUGAUCCUCAGGGUUCCCUACAUUGCCCAGACAAAGUGGGGCUGCAUCAUUGCAGUUUUGGCAUAUUCUCAAAACUUAGUAAUGACAAGCUUUCCCAAUAAUUUUUUGGAUGUUGCUGCUCAGGUUCUGAUUGAAAGCGUGGAAUCUCACCGAUAUAUAAUAAACACUU